rnacentral:misc_RNA from 1 species
GGAAGAUUCCCCAGUGGCGCUCAAAGUUACCUGGAGCAAUACUUUUACCAUCCUCAUCGAUAAGCCCAAACAAGUAAACUUCGAUAAAUCCAGGCCGUAGAGGUGUUCCAACGUUGGCUGCAAGCCUGGGUAACAGUCCUUUAUAGAAACGAUAAGCAAGAUUGACAUUGGCAUUUUUGUCACCAUCUGUAGGCCAUCCAACUUCCCCAACUAGAAUGGGCAAAUUGCCAACACCUGCUGCUUUCAACGCUGAAACCAGGGUGUCAAAGUUGGCAUCAAAUACAUUGGUGUAUGAUAAUCCAUUAUCAACAAUUGGGUUACUGGCUCCAUCAAAGAAGGC